rnacentral:rRNA from 1 species
UACGGGGGGGGCAAGCGUUGUUCGGAAUUACUGGGCGUAAAGGGCUCGUAGGCGGCCAACUAAGUCGGAUGUGAAAUCCCCAGGCUUAACCUGGGAACUGCAUCCGAUACUGGAUGGCUUGAAUCCGGGAGAGGGAUGCGGAACUCCAGGUGUAGCGGUGAAAUGCGUAGAUAUCUGGAGGAACACCGGUGGCGAAGGCGGCAUCCUGGACCGGCAUUGACGCUGAGGAGCGAAAGCCAGGGGAGCAAACAGG